rnacentral:rRNA from 1 species
UACGUAGGGGGCAAGCGUUGUCCGGAUUUAUUGGGCGUAAAGAGCGUGUAGGCGGCCUGAAAGGUCAGCUGUGAAAACUCGAGGCUCAACCUCGAGACGUCGGUUGAAACCAUCUGGCUAGAGUCCGGAAGAGGAGUGUGGAAUUCCCGGUGUAGCGGUGAAAUGCGCAGAUAUCGGGAAGAACACCAACGGCGAAAGCGCUCUGCUGGGCCGACACUGACGCUGAGAGACGAAAGCUAGGGGAGCGAAUGGG